AUCUCCUUAGCUCUGCUCAGUUGCACUUGACCAAGUAUGGUGUGACUGUCGUACACAGGAGAGAAAACAAGAAUUCCCUUUGAUAACAGCUUGACCUACUGUGGUCUCUCUGUUCCUUAUGGGAUUUGACAAGU
ensembl:snoRNA